AAAAAAAGAAAAGAAAAGAAAAAAAUGUUAUUUUGAUUAUUAAACAGUAUUUUUUGGGUUUCCCGAUUGAUAGAUAUUUAUCUUGUAUUUUUUUUUUUUUUUUAUGCUGAGUUUGUAAUGAAGCAUAAAAAUUUUUAAGAAUAUUUUGGGAAAAAUGUAUUGAUUGAUUGAUUGAUUUUUGGUGCUUAACAUCUCUUUACACAGGAUUGGCCGCCAUGGCCCAUAGGUGAAAACUAAAGUAAAAUAUGUUAUUAAAAUGUGCUGAAUUUUUGUUAUUUUUUUAUUUUUUUAAAUUUUAUUUGUGCUCUUUUAUAUUUUUGUUAAAUAUAGCAAGAAUGUGGAGUUCUAACGGUGAAAUUUUGGGCAAAGGGAAGUAAUACCCCUGUUUAACUCAUCAUUUUUUCUUCGAAAUUCCCUCAGUAAUAGGGAAUCUAACUUAUUAUGUACUUUAAUAUUGAUAUUUGUAUAAGUUUGGUGUUUUUUAAAUAUCAGAUGUAUACUUGCUAAAAUUUACUAUUAUUUAGAGCUCUGUAAAAGAAAAAAAUAUGUAAACUGAAGUCUAAAUAAUAGAUAUGUAGGGUGGGAGAUCUUAUGGUUCGGUCAUUUGGUAAAAUUUUUCAAAAAAGCUGAUUAUACAAAAGUGCAUCUGAUAUUUUUAUAUGUAUAACUUUAUUAUUAAAGAAUAACAAAUGGACAAAAAAAUAGAUUGACAAAAAGAUGAGGACAGUAACCUUGGCAGCCAGGAAAACAGCUCCAAGGAAGAUGGUCAAUUAAAUCUUAACCAAGUCUGAGGCUUUACUGUGAGAAAUAUGUUGAUGUUGUAACGACAAUGUUUUCAUAGGUGUUGGGAGUAAGACUUGGAUAUCUGAUACUGUUAACAUGUUGGUUAGCAUCACAACAUUUCCAUAGGGUUACUUGUUGCGGUUUU